rnacentral:rRNA from 1 species
GAUGAACGCGGCGGCGUGCUUAACACAUGCAAGUCGAACGAAGCAAUUUUCUACGAUCCCUUCGGGGUGACGGAUUAUUGACUGAGUGGCGGACGGGUGAGUAACGCGUGGGUAACCUACCUUGUACAGGGGGACAACAGUUGGAAACGACUGCUAAUACCGCAUAAGCGCACAGCAUCGCAUGAUGCAGUGUGAAAAGUUUUUUCGGUACAAGAUGGACCCGCGUCUGAUUAGCUAGUUGGUGAGGUAACGGCCCACCAAGGCGACGAUCAGUAGCCGACCUGAGAGGGUGACCGGCCACAUUGGGACUGAGACACGGCCCAAACUCCUACGGGAGGCAGCAGUGGGGAAUAUUGCACAAUGGGCGAAAGCCUGAUGCAGCGACGCCGCGUGAGCGAAGAAGUAUUUCGGUAUGUAAAGCUCUAUCAGCAGGGAAGAUAAUGACGGUAC